UGGACAGAAGCCCAAUAACUGAAUGUGGAUACAUUAUAAAGCAAUCACUUCCCAAGAUCUUGAGCUCCAAGGCACAUGUAGAGUCCACCAAAUUGGAAGGGACCCACUAGGAUUGAGUUCAGCUCCCAACCCUGGACAGGACAUCCCCAAGAGUCACAUCCCAAUAUAAAAGCCAAACUCACAUGUAAGCAAGCAACAACCAAGGGCUGGAAAGAAAAAGAAAUACCUUAAGAAGACUAAGUUUUGAAUAUAUUUUCAUACAAGAAUGAGGAACUUCCAAAAUCUCAAUUUGUUCAAAGAAACACCCAGGGAUGGGAGCCUACUGCCAGACUUUGGAGCAGCGUGGAUAUGACACAAUUGCCAUGGCUUAUAGCUCUGCAGACCUCACAGCGUUCCUGAGAGACUCAGAUACGGUGUGUAUCCUUCUCUAUCAUUUCAGGCAUUGUUACCUGCUUCGAAAGCUAACCCACAACCUGUAAAUCUUGUUGCAAUAAUGAAGCUUGGCACUGCCCGUUGGCGCCGCCUCCUCCUCCUCCUCCUCUCUUUCUCCUUCUCUCCGUGCCUGGGGUUGGCCGCAGCCGGAGCUCAGAGCAUGCUUGUGCUGUGGUGCCAAGCAGCCUCAGGCUUCUGCCAAGCAACUGCCUGUUUUGUCUUUGGCUGCUGUGUGUAAAAUGGCAGAUCUAAUGAGACAUCACGGAGCAGCUGGUUUUGGCUGUUUCUCUGGCGCAACUGAUUAUAGCCACAAGUUGGGGUGUGAACCAGUUGUACCUCAAAGACCAUUUUCACCCAGGUGAACUCCUUUGAACAUUCCUCAGUGGUAGCAAUUUCCUGGUCCCGGCCCCAGCACUUCACCUGUGCCAGGCUCCACUCUUUGUCCUCCCAUCCCACUGCAGUUUCCUUCUUGUGUACAUGGGACACCCAAAGCCCUGCCAAAUGCUUAAGCAAGUGACCAGUUCAGAGUGAGAGCUGUUUGAAAAUAACUCCCAGCUCUGCAGGGAGGGAUACUCAGAGGGACAGACAUUUCCCCCUCUGCCUUCUGCAGAGCRUGGAUCCCAGAAUGUCAGGUCAGGGAUCACCCAUGCUGUGUGAAKGUGUUCGUGGUGACUGCUCUCUGCAAAAAGACAUAAGCCAUAAACAUUGUAAUGGAAGACUGCAGUUCUGGCUUUGAAAAUACAAUUAACUCCAAGAGGUCUGUUCUUCCUUGGUUUAUGCAGAUGAGUAAUACCAAUGGAACUUACACAUAUGGACAUCGAGAGGAAGCUUAUUUUACUUGAAAUUAAUACAUGUCAAACUUUUUUUUUUUUUUUAAAUUAUUAUCUUCAAGCUGCAUUUAAGCACCCAGAGCCUUGAACUGAACUGAAAAAAAUGUUGUAAUUGGUAUAAUUCUUAGCUCUUU